CCCUGUCUCUCCUCCUGUCAGCUCUAGACCCCUUCCACCCCGGGGUCUAUGUGGCUGGCUGGGGGAGCAUGCCUCCCUCUAGUUUGUCCCCUCACCAGGUGACCCUCUCUGCCCAGGCCUCCCUCUCUGCCCCUCCACAGGCCUGCCUGCCUGCCUACUUCUCCCCAGGUGACCCUCCAACCCCCCAGGCAACAUGGGACAGGCCUGCUUUAGUCCCCUGCCAGAUGCCUAUUGUGUGGCUGAGACACUGGGCCUGGUGUGCUGGCCUGUUUUGACUGGCUGGCUUGCUGGCAGAUGGCUAACGUUACUGGAAGAAGACUCAAGUGGGCUGGCUGCAAGACACACACAGGCCAACCCAUCCUCCAACCCAGGCUACCCCAGCCAGGCCCCUGACAGAGAGGGCACACUGGGUCUGUCGUGGGGGACUUGAGGACUUGGGGGGGGGAGAAGCAUCAAGCCACUGCUUUGUUGAGGCUUCUUUGUCGUUGUCCUUUGGGGAGGGGUUUAAUAUCCUCGCUUGUGUUACCUUCUGUGUUAAUAUUAUCAUUGUUAUUUCUUUUAAAUCAGGUUUAAAUAUGUAUGAUUCUGGAAUAUUUUAGGGCUGAUCUGUUGCACAGGUUUGAUUUGUUUUGAAAUGGUUUUAAGGCGAUUAUUUGCUUUAAAAAUAUUCAAAAAUAACAUACAUUUUGACAGUGGUAUUGUGUACUAGCAUUAAAGGAUCCUCUAGCAUUAAAGGUUUGAGGUGUUGGUUGACAAGACUGAGAGGGAAGGUUUGAGGUGUUUAUUGUCUAGACUAAGCGGGAAGGUUUGAGGAGUUGGUUGACUAGACUGAGGGAAGGUUUGAGGAGUUGGUUGACUAGACUAAGAGGGAAGGUUUGAGGUGUUGGUUGACUAGACUGAGAGGGAAGGUUUGAGGUGUUGGUUGACUAGACUAAGAGGGAAGGUUUGCGGUGUUGGUUGACUAGACCAAGAGGGAAGGUUUGAGGUGUUGGUUGACUAGACUGAGAGGGAAGGUUUGAGGAGUUGGUUGUCUAGACUAAGAGGGAAGGUUUGAGGUGUUGGUUGUCUAGACUAAGAGGGAAGGUUUGAGGUGUUGGUUGACUAGACUAAGAGGGAAGGUUUGAGGUGUUGGUUGACUAGACUGAGCAAAGGUUUGAGGUGUUGGUUGACUAGACUGAGCAAAGGUUUGAGGAGUUGGUUGACUAGACUGAGGGAAGGUUUGAGGAGUUGGUUGACUAGACUGAGGGAAGGUUUGAGGAGUUGGUUGACUAGACUGAGGGAAGGUUUGAGGAGUUGGUUGACUAGACUGAGGGAAGGUUUGAGGAGUUGGUUGACUAGACUAAGAGGGAAGGUUUUAGGUGUUGGUUGACUAGACUAAGAGGGAAGGUUUGAGGUGUUGGUUGACUAGACUAAGAGGGAAGGUUUGAGGUGUUGGUUGACUAGACUAAGAGGGAAGGUUUGAGGUGUUGGUUGUCUAGACUAAGAGGGAAGGUUUGAGGUGUUGGUUGUCUAGACUAAGAGGGAAGGUUUGAGGUGUUGGUUGACUUGACUAAGAGGGAAGGUUUGAGGUGUUGGUUGUCUAGACUAAGAGGGAAGGUUUGAGGUGUUGGUUGACUAGACUAAGAGGGAAGGUUUGAGGUGUUGGUUGACUUGACCGAGAAGGAAGGUUUGAGGAGUUGGUUGACUUGACUAAGAGGGAAGGUUUGAGGAGUUGGUUGACUAGACUAAGAGGGAAGGUUUGAGGAGUUGGUUGACGACUGAGGGAAGAUUUGAGGUGUUGGUGACUUGACUGAGGGAAGGUUUGAGGUGUUGGUUGACUUGACUGAGGGAAGGUUUGAGGUGUUGGUGACUUGACUGAGGGAAGGUUUGAGGUGUUGGUGACUUGACUGAGGGAAGGUUUGAGGUGUUGGUUGACGACUGAGGGAAGGUUUGAGGUGUUGGUGACUUGACUGAGGGAAGGUUUGAGGUGUUGGUGACUUGACUGAGGGAAGGUUUGAGGUGUUGGUGACUUGACUGAGGGAAGGUUUGAGGUGUUGGUGACUUGACUGAGGGAAGGUUUGAGGAGUUGGUUGACUAGACUGAGGGAAGGUUUGAGGUGUUGGUUGACCUGACGAAGAGGGAAGGUUUGGCUAGAAGGAAGAAUCAUAGACGUGGUCGGUUUGAAGUCAGUCAGAAGAGUGGCCUUGUCAUCUAUAAUAAUACAUUUAUGGAGUUGCGUCCUGUUUUAAAAAUUAAGGCUGGGAGGUAGAGCGUGCUUGUUGAGACGGAGUGGCCGAAUUUGAGUUUAUUAUUUCUUGCAAAAUGAAAUGUAGCUCCUUUAAGAGGAGGAAGAAACAAGCAUGAUAAAAUCCUUCUUCAAAUGGUCUCCUGUUCAAGCAGCCAUUUUGCAAGUCUUUAUAUCUGUAUAAUGAUGACAUCUUUUAAUCUGUGUUAUUUUACAGAUUAUUUUUAUGAUAUAAUGUAGGUUGCUAGUAUGUGAUUCGCAUUAUUCUGGCUUCUGCAAAUGUGUUUACCACGAUAUUGACGUUUACCAACCCACUCAUCAUUCUAUCGUUUGAUGGGCUGUGUGUAAUCCACUGUACAGUAAUGGCCCGUAUUUAAGAAAACAGAACGAGUGCUCAGCGGGAAUAGUACAAACAGAGACUAUGGCUACAUCCUAUUUAGCUUUAGGGUUGAAUAGGGUUGUGUGGAUAGGACGGUGGUCUUUCUAUGUCUUCUUACUAUGGCUUCAGGUCAUGUUGAAUGAACUGCUCUGUCUGGGACAGUCUGUCAGUCCUACGACUACUAGUGUUACUUGUUCCUGAUUUCCCAUUGAAUUGAAUCUCUCUGGGAAGUUUUGUGUUAUUUUGUUUUUCCUGUCUUGCAUCAAGAAUCCAAAUCUUUAAGGUAGUCACACACCCAAGUCACUAGGAGGGUCUUGAAUUGAAACAUAUAUAUAUAUAUAAUGAGUUGGGAGAUCUAUACAAACCCAUCCGUCUAAGUGUGCGCAUGCCUAUGAGCUGAUUUUAUUUAUUUUAUUUGAGGUUUUUAUUUAAAAUGUUCAUUUUAGUUUUUAUUUUAUUAAUGGGUUUUGAUUUUAAGUGACUGAAUCCAUUGUGAUACCGAUGAUCUCUUUCCUGGUAAGUGUGGUAUUACUGUGAUAUUUUUAGAUUGAAAGCUAUGCUGUAGUGCUAUUGGCCGAUUCUGGUUCCAUAUGCAAUGUAGUGACUCAUUGAAACACAACGGGGUCCUUCCUCAUCUGUGACACUGGGCCUCCCGGCGCCCUCCGACACUUGACCUUUAGGUCACGUGACGUACCCGACUAUUGAAUGCAACGCACCUCCAUUUGCAUGUCAUUGACAUUGGAAGGAGGGAGACAGAAUGAGAUGGGAGGUGUUGGCAUGGUUACUCAAGCGAGGCAAGCUAGUCUCCCAGCCAGAGGGUGAUGAUGAGCUGUAGAAUUUGUGGUUGGUCGUCAAUUCGUUUUUUGUUUUUUUUUAUUAAGCAAUUGAAAAAAUAAACUAACUGAAAAGAGAAGUGGAAAAAAAUGUGUGUGAACUGUGUUUUUCCCCUACGUCUGUCUGUUCAUAUUCAGCGGCUGUAUUGAUGUCUGGACAUUUUCCCCUUAUCCUGAGGACAUCUCCCCCUUCAGCCACUAAAACCUCUCUGUUUUAGGGGAAAACAUCUUGUAUGUCUUAUGUCUUAGCCUUGUCUCAAACAGAAUGCAUGUAAUACUGUUGAAGUCGGAAGUUUACAUACACUUAGGUUGGAGUCAUUAAAACUCGUUUUUCAACCACUCCACACAUUUCUUGUAAACAAACUAUAAUUUUGGCAAGUCUGGUUAGGACAUCUACUUUGUGCAUGACACAAGUAAUUUCUCCAACAAUUGUUUAGACAGAUUAUUUGGUGUGAAAAGUACAAAUCAAUCACAGAACAACAGCAAAUGACCUUGUGAAGAUGCUGGAGGAAACGGGUACAAAAGUAUCUAUAUCCACAGUAGAACGAGUCCUAUAUCGACAUAACCUGAAAGGCCGCUCAGCAAAGAAGAAGCCACUGCUCCAAAACCGCCAUAAAAAAAGCCAGACUAUGGUUUGCAACUACACAUGGGGACAAAGAUUGUACUUUUUGGAGAAAUGUCCUCUAGUCAAACAAAAAAUGUAACUGUUUGGCCAUAAUGACCAUCGUUAUGUUUGGAGGUAAAAGGGGGAGGCCUGCAAGCCAAAGAACACCAUCCCAACUGUGAAGCACUGUGGUGGCAGCAUCAUCAUGUGGGAGUGCUUUGCGGCAGGAGGGACUGGUGCACUUCACAAAAUAGAUGGCAUUAUGAGGCAGGGAAAUUAUGUGGAUAUAUUGAAGCCACAUCUCAAGACAUCAGUCAGGAAGUUAAAGCUUGGUUACAAAUGGGUCUUCCAAAUGGACAAUGACCCCAAGCAUACUUCCAAAGUUGUGGCAAAAUGGCUUAAGGACAACGAAGGCAAGGUAUUGGAGUGGCCAUCACAAAGCCCUGACCUCAAUCCUAUAGAAUAUUUGUGGGCAGAACUGAAAAAGCGUGUGCAAUCAAGGAGGCCUACAACCCCGACUCAAUUACACCAGCUCUGUCAGUAGGAAUGGGCCAAAAUUCACGCAACUUAUUGUGGGAAGCUUGUGGAAGGCUACCCGAAACGUUUGACCCAAGUUAAAGGCAAUGCUACCAAAUACUAAUUGAGUGUAUGUAAACUUCUGACCCACUGGGAAUGUGAUGAAAGAAAUAAAAGCUGAAAUAAAUCAUUCUCUACUAUUAUUCUGACAUUUCACAUUCUUAAAAUAAAGUGGUGAUCCUAACUGACCUAAAAC